GACGAACGCUGGCGGCGUGCCUAAUACAUGCAAGUAGAACGCACAGUUUAUACCGUAGCUUGCUACACCAUAGACUGUGAGUUGCGAACGGGUGAGUAACGCGUAGGUAACCUGCCUGGUAGCGGGGGAUAACUAUUGGAAACGAUAGCUAAUACCGCAUAAUAUUAAUUAUUGCAUGAUAAUUAAUUGAAAGGUGCAAUUGCACCACUACCAGAUGGACCUGCGUUGUAUUAGCUAGUAGGUGAGGUAACGGCUCACCUAGGCGACGAUACAUAGCCGACCAGAGAGGGGGAUGGGAAAGACUGGGACUGAGACACGCACAAGACACAAACGGGAGGAAGCAGAAGGGAAUCUGCGGCAAUGGACGAAAGUAGGAAAGAGCAACGCGGCGGGAGUGAAGAAGGUUGUGGGAUCGUAAAGCUCUGUUGUAAGAGAAGAACGGGGGAGAGAGUGGAAAGUUCACACUGUGACGGUAGCUUACCAGAAAGGGACGGCUAACUACGUG
rnacentral:rRNA from 1 species